UACGUAGGGCGCAAGCGUUGUCCGGAAUUAUUGGGCGUAAAGAGCUCGUAGGCGGUUUGUCACGUCGGAUGUGAAAGCCCGGGGCUUAACUCCGGGUCUGCAUUCGAUACGGGCAGACUAGAGUGUGGUAGGGGAGAUCGGAAUUCCUGGUGUAGCGGUGAAAUGCGCAGAUAUCAGGAGGAACACCGGUGGCGAAGGCGGUUCUCUGGGCCUUACCUGACGCUGAGGAGCGAAAGCGUGGGGAGCAAACAGG
rnacentral:rRNA from 1 species